GACGAACGCUGGCGGCGUGCUUAACACAUGCAAGUCGAACGGAAAGGCCCUGCUUUUGUGGGGUGCUCGAGUGGCGAACGGGUGAGUAACACGUGAGUAACCUGCCCUUGACUUUGGGAUAACUUCAGGAAACUGGGGCUAAUACCGGAUAGGAGCUCCUGCUGCAUGGUGGGGGUUGGAAAGUUUCGGCGGUUGGGGAUGGACUCGCGGCUUAUCAGCUUGUUGGUGGGGUAGUGGCUUACCAAGGCUUUGACGGGUAGCCGGCCUGGGAGGGUGACCGGCAACAUGGGGCCGGAGUACCGGCCAGGACUCCAACGGAGGCAGCAGUGGGGAAUAUUGCACAAUGGGCGGAAGCCUGAUGCAGCAACGCCGCGUGCGGGAUGACGGCCUUCGGGUUGUAAACCGCUUUCGCCUGUGACGAAGCGUGAGUGACGGUAAUGGGUAAAGAAGCACCGGCUAACUACGUG
rnacentral:rRNA from 1 species